UGAGGGCACCGUAGGUGAUGAUCCAAGCCAGGCCAUAGACAUUUAUGAAACCGGUUAUUGUGCUCCCGAGAGCCAGAAUACAGUGCCCAAUAUCAGCACGGGCACUGGCCCCAGCAGGGAGAGUGAGGGCACCGUAGGUGAAAAUCCAAGCCAGGCCAUAGACAUUUAUGAAACCGGUUAUUGUGCUCCCGAGAGCCAGAAUACAGUGACCAAUGUCAGCACGGGCACUGGCCCCAGCAGGGAGAGUGAGGGCACUGUAGGUGAUGAUCCAAGCCAGGACACAGAAUUUGAUAUAAGCUUUGGCGGUCCUGUGCCUCCCUGUCUGUACCCUGAAGUCAUCAUUAUCCCUGGCCCCCCCUGGGAGAGUGAGGAGUCCCUGAACACUCCCCUGAGCCACAGGGAAGCAUGUGAAGAUACUGAGGGCAUUCUGCCCAGCCCAAAUGAAGACAACUUGCAUGGUGAGGAAAACCAGAACCCAGACAGGAGGAGGAGAUGGCGCCUCAAAGGGGUGAGGAGGCAAAUCCGCCGUCUCUGCUGCUGUUUCUUCUGUUGUCUCCUCGCCCCAACGGAAGAAGCCCCAACCCCCAGGUCUGAAGAACAGGCCUGGGGCCAUGGUUCUUAAACCAUGGGUCUCGUUCGGCCUGGUGUGGCCUACCAGCCACAAGAGGGGGCCAGGCCAGAACAUUAUAGAGCAUUGUACCCGAAAUCAUCACGCCCAGUGACACAUGCUGUGACUCAUAAGGACAAGCUCUGUACCCCUCCUCUCCCUGCAGUGGGAGCUGUUAGCUCCCUUAAGAUGACUCUGCUGAAAAUCAUGGGUCGCUUGAACCUAUGAAGAACAGCGGGGUAACCUGUUGUAAGCUCCCCCUCUGGGAUAACAUGUCAGCUCAUAGCUUUGUGUGGCAGCAUUUCCAACGAUGCCACAGUGGUAUGGAACCCACCGUUACUUUUCACUUGAUGUUGGCGCAUCAGGACUAUGUUCUACUCUUAAGAACAUAUCCCAGGCCUAAAAGAGAAAUUUCUCUGUUUAUUAUUUCAUUAUUCAAUAAAUAAAUUCCUCUUUAUUAUUUACUUUAUUAAAUGUUGACUUGAUUUUUAUCCUGACCCGUGGGGCAGUAUUAUACAGGCCCUACAUUGUAUGGCAGCCAAACUUACAGACCAGCUCAUACCUGGCCACAGGGAAGGUGGUCACAUGACUUCCAGACAGGAUGUCGCCAUCCUCAAAAGAUUAGGAUAUGCUAAUAUUGUUCUGAUUCUUUCUUUGCCAUUAUGGAGAUUACCUGGGAAGUGUUAAUCCAGGCUGCCUGACAGAGCAACCGUACUUGUGGAAGUGACUUUAGUCCCCCUACCCCAAAACAGAGUGCUAAUGAAC